rnacentral:rRNA from 1 species
AUUGAACGCUGGCGGCAGGCCUAACACAUGCAAGUCGAACGGUAACAGGAAGAAGCUUGCUUCUUUGCUGACGAGUGGCGGACGGGUGAGUAAUGUCUGGGAAACUGCCUGAUGGAGGGGAAUAACUACUGGAAACGGUAGCUAAUACCGCAUAACGUCGCAAGACCAAAAAGGGGGACCUUCGGGCCUCUUGCCAUCGGAUGUGCCCAGAUGGGAUUAGCUAGUAGGUGGGGUAACGGCUCACCUAGGCGACGAUCCCUAGCUGGUCUGAGAGGAUGACCAGCCACACUGGAACUGAGACACGGUCCAGACUCCUACGGGAGGCAGCAGUGGGGAAUAUUGCACAAUGGGCGCAAGCCUGAUGCAGCCAUGCCGCGUGUAUGAAGAAGGCCUUCGGGUUGUAAAGUACUUUCAGCGGGGAGGAAGGGAGUAAAGUUAAUACCUUUGCUCAUUGACGUUACCCGCAGAAGAAGCACCGGCUAACUCCGU